CAGUAGCCACGGUAAUACGGAGGGCGCAAGCGUUACUCGGAAUGACUGGGCGUAAAGGGCGCGUAGGCGGACCACACAGUCGGACGUGAAAUUCCUGGGCUUAACCUGGGGGCUGCAUUUGAUACUGUCGGGCUUGAGUAUGGAAGAGGGUCGUGGAAUUCCCAGUGUAGAGGUGAAAUUCGUAGAUAUUGGGAAGAACACCGGUGGCGAAGGCGGCGACCUGGUCCAUAACUGACGCUGAGGCGCGAAAGCGUGGGGAGCAAACAGGAUUAGAUACCCCCGUAGUCCCUGUCUCUUAUAC
rnacentral:rRNA from 1 species